UACGGAGGGUGCAAGCGUUGUCCGGAAUCAUUGGGCGUAAAGCGCGCGCAGGCGGCUGGUCAAGUCUGCUGUGAAAGCCCGGGGCUCAACCCCGGGAGGCGGGCGGAUACUGUCGGGCUAGAGUCCGGAAGAGGCGAGUGGAAUUCCUGGUGUAGCGGUGAAAUGCGCAGAUAUCAGGAGGAACACCAAUAGCGAAGGCAGCUCGCUGGGACGGUACUGACGCUGAGACGCGAAAGCGUGGGGAGCAAACAGG
rnacentral:rRNA from 1 species